rnacentral:lncRNA from 1 species
GCAACAAUGCCUUCCUACUCAGCAUCUAUGUGGACAACCAUUUCCUGCUGCUUGCACAAUCACUCUUUCUCAGCUCUCUACUGCCCUUGGAGUUGUCCAUGCAGCAGGUUCAACUUUUCACUGUGUGCUGUCAGAAGGGCAGCAUGCAGUUACUUUCGUAUCUCAAUGCCUUGGUGGAUUCUGCUUCUUUGUAUUUGUAUCAGGUGCUGUGUAUAUUCUAGAAUUCAGUUCAUUUAACAUCUUCUUCAAAGGAAAGGAGAGAAAACAAUGGAAAAAUUAUUUCUACAAUUCUACCCAAAGAUUUCAAGACCUGGAAAUGAUUGUAUUGUUAGCAGAAGGUUCACUUCAAAGUUUUACUCUUGUUGACCUUGGUUGGUCCCCAUACUCGCGACCAUAGUAAGAAGAGCUAAGGAAUCCCUGAGGUGCAGAAUCCACAAGAACUAAGGGGUCUCAUCAUCUGGGAGCCUGUGGUGACCUCAGAAAGGAGAUUGUAGUCUUCUAAUGAUCAUAUUAGCUCUCUAAGCUAGGAAUUCUCAACCUUCCUAAUGAACCCUUUCAUACAAUUCCUCAUGUUGUGGUGACCCCAACCAUAGAAUGGUCUUUUUUGCUACUUUUAUGAAUCAAAAUGUAAAUAUUUUGGCAAAGGAAUCAAAACCUACAG